rnacentral:snoRNA from 1 species
UGGCGUCAGUGAUGUCUCCUUUACCUACAUUGUUUGAUAUCUACUUGAGAAAAGCUUUGUUAUCUGAGACGCCU